rnacentral:rRNA from 1 species
CAGGCACCGCACCUACGGUGUGUGCCGCCGGUAGGCGACGUAGGGGGCUACCUAUUCUUCCUGGGGGAACUAGGGGAGGAUUGGGAUCGCGGUUGGUGGGGGAGGGAGUGAGGGAAAGCGAGAGAGGGCUCGCGCAGACCGCGGUGCGGCGGCAACUGGUGCUCCGGUCCUUGGAGGGGCGCGACGGACCCUUGCCGGUCCCCCUGGCGGAAGAAGAAGAAGUAGGAGAGGCAACGGGGACCUGUUCGGCCUCGGCAGGGAACGUGAGCGGUAGCUGCUGCAGAAGCGGCGCAUGUAGCGGUAGCAGGCGGCAGCUAACGGCGGCGACACCAGGUGGAGGCCGGAGGGGCCGGUACGGGGGCUCAAGUGUUGGGGCUCUGACGUCUGCUGGGGGUCAUGCUGAUGCCACAACUGCUGAGGAGGAAGAACGGUCUCGUUAGUCUGCUACCUCAGGUCCACGGUCUGCGGACACAGCUGCUACUGAGGAUGAUGUGACCUCCACGGAUGAUGAUGUACGUCCGGCGGCUGCUGCUGGUCCUCAUCAAUCCUCCUAGGGUCUGUCCUCCGGACGCGGAGAAAGCUAGACAUAGGGUCAAACACGAUCGGAAGAAUUCCGUUUAAACAAAUUGAAUACAGACAUGAGUCUAUAACAACGAAGGCGACUGAGCAGAUACUAGCUCGAGAACAUAAGCUCGGAAGCUCCGGGAACCGAACAUUAUACUACGAACAUACUGAAUAAAAUAAACAUCU